AGAACGAACGCUGGCGGCAUGCCUAAUACGUGCAAGUCGAACGAACACUUCGGUGUUAGCGGCGCACGGGUGCGUAACGCGCGGGAAUCUGCCCUUGGGUUCGGAAUAACAGCUGGAAACGACUGCUAAUACCGGAUGAUGACGUAAGUCCAAAGAUUUAUCGCCCAGGGAUGAGCCCGCGUAGGAUUAGCUAGUUGGUGAGGUAAAGGCUCACCAAGGCGACGAUCCUUAGCUGGUCUGAGAGGAUGAUCAGCCACACUGGGACUGAGACACGGCCCAGACUCCUACGGGAGGCAGCAGUGGGGAAUAUUGGACAAUGGGCGAAAGCCUGAUCCAGCAAUGCCGCGUGAGUGAUGAAGGCCUUAGGGUUGUAAAGCUCUUUACCGGGAGAUAAUGACUGUACCGGAGAAUAAGCUCCGGCUAACUCCGUCGCCACGCAGCCGC
rnacentral:rRNA from 1 species